rnacentral:rRNA from 1 species
AGCUCCAGCAGCGUAUAUUUAUAUUGCUGCGUUUAAAAAGCUCGUAGUUGAAGCGUCAGACGCGGAAGGGCGGACGGCCGCACUGGUCGCUCUCGCCCGACCGAGCCAGGCGCAGAGGGCGCGCGUCGCUUGCACUUCGCCGUGCAAACACGCCGCCGCUGCACGUUCACCUUGAAGAAAUUGAACCGCUUAGAGGGGGCGAGCAGCUUGAACAGCUCAGCAUGGUAUGAUGGAACAUGGGCUCGUACUCAUUUUGUUGGUUAGAGAGUCGGCGAGCCAAUGAUUAACAGGGACUGCCGGGGGCAUUAGUACUCGGACGGGAGAGGUGAAAUUCAAGGAUCGUCCGGAGACUCCCUACUGCGAAAGCAUUUGCCAAGAAUGUUUUCAUUAAUCAAGAACG